AGUGAACGCUGGCGGCGUGCCUAAUACAUGCAAGUCGAACGCAGUGGGGACGGGUGAGUAACACGUGGGUAACCUCCCAUCAGAGGGGAUAACACUUGGAAACAGGUGCUAAACCGCUACUGAUGGAUGUACCCGCUGUGCAUUUGCUAGUUGGUGAGGGAACGGCUCACCAAGGCCACGAGGCAUAGCAGACCUGAGAGGGUGAUCGGCCACACCGGGACUGAGCAACGGCCCAGACUCCUACGGGAGGCAGCAGUAGGGAAUCUGCGGCAAUGGACGAAAGUCUGACCGAGACACGCCGCGUGAGUGAAGAAGGUUUUCGGAUCGUAAAACUCUGUUGUUAGAGAAGCGGUAUCUAACCAGAAAGCAACGGCUAACUACGUGCCAGCCGCCGCGGUAAUUC
rnacentral:rRNA from 1 species